rnacentral:tRNA from 1 species
CGAGGUGUAGCGCAGUUUGGUAGCGCACAUCGUUCGGGACGAUGGAGUCGCAAGUUCGAAUCUUGUCACCUCGACCA